rnacentral:tRNA from 1 species
GCUCCGUGGUGUCGAACAUAUUAGAUUGCAAAUCUGAAGUGGCAGGCUAAUCCCUGCCGGGGCUU